rnacentral:rRNA from 1 species
GAUGAACGCUGGCGGCGUGCCUAAUACAUGCAAGUCGAGCGAACGGACGAGAAGCUUGCUUCUCUGAUGUUAGCGGCGGACGGGUGAGUAACACGUGGAUAACCUACCUAUAAGACUGGGAUAACUUCGGGAAACCGUAGCUAAUACCGGAUAAUAUUUUGAACCGCAUGGUUCAAAAGUGAAAGACGGUCUUGCUGUCACUUAUAGAUGGAUCCGCGCUGCAUUAGCUAGUUGGUAAGGUAACGGCUUACCAAGGCAACGAUGCAUAGCCGACCUGAGAGGGUGAUCGGCCACACUGGAACUGAGACACGGUCCAGACUCCUACGGGAGGCAGCAGUAGGGAAUCUUCCGCAAUGGGCGAAAGCUGACGGAGCAACGCCGCGUGAGUGAUGAAGGUCUUCGGAUCGUAAAACUCUGUUAUUAGGGAAGAACAUAUGUGUAAGUAACUGUGCACAUCUUGACGGUACCUAAUCAGAAAGCCACGGCUAACUACGUG